UACGGGGGGAGCAAGCGUUGUUCGGAUUACUUGGGCGUAAAGGGCGCGUAGGCGGCGUGACAAGUCACUUGUGAAAUCUCCGGGCUUAACUCGGAACGGUCAAGUGAUACUGUCGUGCUAGAGUACAGAAGGGGCAACUGGAAUUCUCGGUGUAGCGGUGAAAUGCGUAGAUAUCGAGAGGAACACCUGCGGCGAAGGCGGGUUGCUGGGCUGAUACUGACGCUGAGGCGCGAAAGCUAGGGGAGCGAACGGG
rnacentral:rRNA from 1 species